rnacentral:rRNA from 1 species
GACGAACGCUGGCGGCAUGCUUAACACAUGCAAGUCGAGCGGACACUCCCUUCUUUUGUGCGGACGGCUGGUUGACACGUGGGGACGUACCCUUUGGUACGCUCUCCCUCUCUUACGCUUACCCUAAUGCCACAUGGGCUCUUUUCGGGAAGGAUGUGCUGCUGCAUGAUCGGCCGUCGUCUGAUUAGCUGGUUGGGGGGGUACUGGCGUACCAAGGCGAUGAUUAUGAGGUGGUCUCUGAGGAUGAUCAGCACUACUGGGACGGCGACACGGCCCAGACUGUUAGGGGAGGCAGAAGUGGGGAAGAUAGGACAAUGGGCGCGAGCCUGAUCCAGCCAUGCCGGGUGAGUGAUGAAGGAGUUAGGGUUGUAAAGCUCUUUUGGCCGGGACGAUAAGGACGGUACCGGAAGAAUAAGCCCCGCCUAACUUCGU